UCAACAAGGAGAACCUGGAAUAAGAGAGAAUCUCAGGAAAUGCAGGAAGAUACAUGCAGAACAUCCAUACCCCUUUCAGAGAGCUGCAAGAAUCGAUCCAUACUUGCCCCAGCAUUGCAAGGUUGCAUCUUACUGUGGGUCCUUUGUCACUGCCAGUGGACAUCCUUCUGCUGCAUCAGGUGGAGUUGGGCUGAUGUUUUCUUCAUCCACAGAUAUCUCACUAUAAGGAAAAGUCUCUAAUCGUCAGGCAUGAAGCGUCAGCUUGAUAUUUCCAUCUGCCUUACCUCAGAAUGCCGGUGCCGACGCAAGAUGUUAGAAUGUCCGGCACCCAUCUUGACGCUCCUGUAUGAGAAAAAAAAGGUUGGUGUAAGUGGCUGCUUCAGUGGAGAUAAAGAAUACAACUGUUUGUAGCUGCUGGUAAACUACAAGCUCAAGACAAGCACCUCUCUGUAACCUCACUGCUACACAUCUGAGCAGAAAGUCAAAUAUUCCCCAUAAUCCUCGGCGAUAAAGAAGACGAUUAAUCAAGAACUGAGACUGACGUCUAGAAAUAAACAGCAACCGUCCAAUUUCAUUUUUUGGGUAUCUUGAUGCAGUCAUAUUUUCCCAAUAAUCCUCGGCGACAAAGAAGACGAUUAAUCAAGAACUGAGACUGACGUCUAGAAAUAAACAGCAACCAUCCAAUUUCAUUUUUCGGUUUCUUGAUGCAGGUUCUUCUGUCAAAUAAGAGAGGCUGAAAACUUGACGUGUCCCUUUUCUACUAACUAAAACCUGCCUAACUGCUUGGUGAUGAAGACGAUGAGCCCACCUGAAGCCUCUCCAAUUCACCUUAGAGGAGGAGAUAAAUCCCUUCCUGACAUUAAAGGUGGCAAUGUGACCAUUCUCUGAAUUGAUUUUUUAUUUAGAGUUAUUUUCUCCCUUGCUAAAAAGGUAUCCAACCCUUUUUUAA